CAGGUUAAAACUAAAGGUUAAAAUGUUUUAAACUGUGGAUUAAAACUAAAUGUUUAAACUGCAGGUUAAAACUAAAGGUUUGAAAGGCAUAAACUGCAGGUUAUUCAAAGGUUUAGUUUAAACUGCGGGUUAAAACUAAAGGUUUAAAUGGUUUAAAAGGUUUAAACUGCGGGUUAUUCAAAGGUUUAGUUUAAACUGUGGGUUAAAACUAAAUGUUUAAAAGGUUUAAAAGGUUUAAACUGCCGGGUAAAACUAAAGGUUUAAAUGUUUUAAACUGUAGGUUAAAACUAAAGUGUCUAAAGGUUUAAAUUCUUUAAAUGACAGAUAUACUUCAGUUUGUUCUAAAAUCUGCUACCAGUAACUGAUCACACUUACUGGAGUCUUGAUCAAUAAAACAAUACGAGACUCGGUGAGAGGAAAAGUCAUUUAAUUACACUGAAUAUAAAAAAGGUAAAAAUUCACUUUGUAAAAAAAUCAUUUCCUUAAAGUAAAGGUCCCAGCAGAGGCUGGAUCAGUAAUGAUCAAUCGUUUCUCCGGUCGCAGCACGAAUAUUCAAACCAAACUUUAUUCGCACCGUCUUCCAGUGUCAAUAAGGCUAUUCACAUUCAUUUAAACAGGUCAUGUGACCCGGAUCAAUUUACAGGACCUUCCACCUGCUGUCAGGAUGCAGGAACCAGAACCGGCCCCUGACCCGAUCCAGGAUCGAUCCAGAACCACAAAGUCCAAACCGGAACCAGUGAGAUGGUUUCUGUAUCCGGACACAGGUGGAGGAAGUAAGCCCAUGUUUCUAAAGGCGUUGGGCGGGUCAGACAUGAUGAUGAUGAUGAUGAUGAUGAUGAUGAUGACGGGCUCCCACAGGAUCAAUCUGAGCUGAAAGGCCUCUGAGGUGAAGCAGGAGUGAAGGCAUUCAGGUGCACAGCAGUCCAUCACUAACUAACAGGUUAUUAUAAUUAACGUUCAGUCAUUUUCAGUAACCAUAGCAAACAGGCCACCAGAGGAAGAUGAUGAAGGCACAUGGGACUGCAGAAACCUGGCCAGAUACACCUGGUUUAGGCUCCGCCCCCGCAGGUGGAGGCCUCAGUGUUUGAACUUUUCAAUGUCGGAGAUCAGCGUUCGUGCCAGGUAGAUCCCCACCAUCUGACACCAGAGAGACAGAGACAGGUAAGGUCAGGUAAACUCUGGUAAGGUCAGGUAAACUCUGGUAAGGUCAGGUAAACUCAAGUAAGCUCAGGUAAGGUCAGGUAAGCUCAGGUAAGGUCAGGUAAACUCAGGUAAGCUCAUGUAAGCUCAGGUAUGCUCAGGUAAGGUCAGGUAUGGUCAGGUAAGCUCAGGUAUGGUCAGGUAAACUCAUGUAAGCUCAGGUAUGGUCAGGUAAGCCCAGGUAAACUCAGGUAUGGUCAGGUAAACUCAGGUAUGGUCAGGUAAACUCAGGUAAGCUCAGGUAAACUCAUGUAAGCUCAGGUAUGGUCAGGUAAGCUCAGGUAAACUCAGGUAUGGUCAGGUAAGCUCAGGUAUGGUCAGGUAAGCUCAGGUAUGGUCAGGUAUGGUCAGGUAAGCCCAGGUAAACUCAGGUAUGGUCAGGUAAACUCAGGUAUGGUCAGGUAAACUCAGGUAAGCUCAGGUAAACUCAUGUAAGCUCAGGUAUGGUCAGGUAAGCUCAGGUAAACUCAGGUAUGGUCAGGUAAGCUCAGGUAUGGUCAGGUAAACUCAUGUAAGCUCAGGUAUGGUCAGGUAAGCUCAGGUAUGGUCAGGUAAGCUCAGGUAUGGUCAGGUAUGGUCAGGUAAGCUCAGGUAUGGUC